UCUGAAUAGAAACAAGAGGUGCCGUACUCAUAGGACGCUCGAUUGCAAGCAAUGACCGUGUUGGACUGUUGAUAGAAACAAGUCAGGUACAAGUCCUCUGUUCUAAGAUGAAAGAAAUUCGCUUAUGAUUAAAAAGGAGUAGAGAACUCCCAGACUGUCCACAGACCCAGAGAGAUGCAUACAGAUGUGGACACACAGUCAUUCAACACCCGUGGAGCCAAACAUUCACGAUGCAGUACCUGCUCCAAAACACCCAAAUCGCACUUGGCCACAGUAUAAACCGAACCAUUAGAAAAGAAUCGUCACCACCACCAGCGAAACUUUCUCCAAUUAACACACCUCUCUCCUGGAAAACCCGUACCAAACGAGAAGCUGGUAAUUGCAAGAGGGCUCUCUAAAUUUGAAGGAGCUCCAGUCGCUCUGACAACUGUCGCUUUGAUUGCUGCCCGGGAGACGAAUCGCCCUCCUUUUAGUGCCAGAAGAAGCAGG